rnacentral:rRNA from 1 species
ACGAACGCUGGCGGCGUGCCUAAUACAUGCAAGUCGAACGCUUCUUUUUCCACCGGAGCUUGCUCCACCGGAAAAAGAGGAGUGGCGAACGGGUGAGUAACACGUGGGUAACCUGCCCAUCAGAAGGGGAUAACACUUGGAAACAGGUGCUAAUACCGUAUAACAAUCGAAACCGCAUGGUUUUGAUUUGAAAGGCGCUUUCGGGUGUCGCUGAUGGAUGGACCCGCGGUGCAUUAGCUAGUUGGUGAGGUAACGGCUCACCAAGGCGACGAUGCAUAGCCGACCUGAGAGGGUGAUCGGCCACAUUGGGACUGAGACACGGCCCAAACUCCUACGGGAGGCAGCAGUAGGGAAUCUUCGGCAAUGGACGAAAGUCUGACCGAGCAACGCCGCGUGAGUGAAGAAGGUUUUCGGAUCGUAAAACUCUGUUGUUAGAGAAGAACAAGGAUGAGAGUAACUGUUCAUCCCUUGACGGUAUCUAACCAGAAAGCCACGGCUAACUACGUGCCAGCAGCCGCGGUAAUACGUAGGUGGCAAGCGUUGUCCGGAUUUAUUGGGCGUAAAGCGAGCGCAGGCGGUUUCUUAAGUCUGAUGUGAAAGCCCCCGGCUCAACCGGGGAGGGUCAUUGGAAACUGGGAGACUUGAGUGCAGAAGAGGAGAGUGGAAUUCCAUGUGUAGCGGUGAAAUGCGUAGAUAUAUGGAGGAACACCAGUGGCGAAGGCGGCUCUCUGGUCUGUAACUGACGCUGAGGCUCGAAAGCGUGGGGAGCAAACAGGAUUAGAUACCCUGGUAGUCCACGCCGUAAACGAUGAGUGCUAAGUGUUGGAGGGUUUCCGCCCUUCAGUGCUGCAGCUAACGCAUUAAGCACUCCGCCUGGGGAGUACGACCGCAAGGUUGAAACUCAAAGGAAUUGACGGGGGCCCGCACAAGCGGUGGAGCAUGUGGUUUAAUUCGAAGCAACGCGAAGAACCUUACCAGGUCUUGACAUCCUUUGACCACUCUAGAGAUAGAGCUUCCCCUUCGGGGGCAAAGUGACAGGUGGUGCAUGGUUGUCGUCAGCUCGUGUCGUGAGAUGUUGGGUUAAGUCCCGCAACGAGCGCAACCCUUAUUGUUAGUUGCCAUCAUUUAGUUGGGCACUCUAGCAAGACUGCCGGUGACAAACCGGAGGAAGGUGGGGAUGACGUCAAAUCAUCAUGCCCCUUAUGACCUGGGCUACACACGUGCUACAAUGGGAAGUACAACGAGUCGCAAAGUCGCGAGGCUAAGCUAAUCUCUUAAAGCUUCUCUCAGUUCGGAUUGUAGGCUGCAACUCGCCUACAUGAAGCCGGAAUCGCUAGUAAUCGCGGAUCAGCAUGCCGCGGUGAAUACGUUCCCGGGCCUUGUACACACCGCCCGUCACACCACGAGAGUUUGUAACACCCGAAGUCGGUGAGGUAACCUUUUGGAGCCAGCCGCCUAAGGUGGGAUAGAUGAUUGGGGUG